GAUGAACGCUGGCGGCGUGCCUAAUACAUGCAAGUCGAGCGAAUGGAUUAAGAGCUUGCUCUUAUGAAGUUAGCGGCGGACGGGUGAGUAACACGUGGGUAACCUGCCCAUAAGACUGGGAUAACUCCGGGAAACCGGGGCUAAUACCGGAUAACAUUUUGAACCGCAUGGUUCGAAAUUGAAAGGCGGCUUCGGCUGUCACUUAUGGAUGGACCCGCGUCGCAUUAGCUAGUUGGUGAGGUAACGGCUCACCAAGGCAACGAUGCGUAGCCGACCUGAGAGGGUGGUCGGCCACACUGGGACUGAGACACGGCCCAGACUCCUACGGGAGGUAGCAGUAGGGAAUCUUCCGCAAUGGACGAAAGUCUGACGGAGCAACGCCGCGUGAGUGAUGAAGGCUUUCGGGUCGCAAAACUCUGUUGUUAGGGAAGAACAAGUGCUAGUUGAAUAAGCUGGCACCUUGACGGUACCUAACCAGAAAGCCACGGCUAACUACGUGCCAGCCGCCGCGGUAA
rnacentral:rRNA from 1 species